CAAACAUGUUCUCCAGCCUUCUGAAGAUGUUCAUGGCUUCAACGUUGCUAGGAUCCAGUAUUGCCCAGAAAGUAACUCAAGCCCAACCAGCAAUGUGCGUGCAGGAGAAGGAGGCUGUGACCCUGAACUGCACAUAUGAUACCAGUGAUAGAAGUUAUAGUCUCUUCUGGUACAAGCAGCCCAGAAGUGGGGCGAUGAUGUUUCUUAUUCGUCAGGAUUCCUAUAGCCAGCAAAGUGCCACAGAAGGUCGCUACUCAUUGAAUUUCCAGAAGGCAAACAAAUCCAUCAACCUUGUCAUCUCAGCUUCACAGCUCGAGGACUCUGCAGUGUAUUUCUGUGCACUGAGUGAGCCCACAGUGAGAGGUGUGUUGGAAGGAGGUGUACCAAAACCCCAGGGCUCUGCUUGAUAUACGCACCUGCUGUGGGGACCAAGGCAGGGAAUUGCCAUCACAGAGAGGAAGUGGCUAGGGCUGUGGCAGCAGAGGUGUAGGAUUAGAGAGAAAACACUCACUCUAAGAAAAUAUCUUUCUAGGUUCAUAGACCCUGUCUAGAGUUAUCAUUCAUCAAAAACGUCCUUACCCCUGAAUCAUUGGCUUGAAAUUGUUUAUUGAAGACAAAG